GUUGUUUUGUGGCUUCUAAGGGUGACGAUUGGGGCUUUAUGUCACUGCAUGAGAUGUGCUUUGACUCACACUUGGUUAUGACAUCGGCACAUUAUCCCAUUUGAUG
ensembl:snoRNA